AUUGAACGCUGGCGGCAUGCCUUACACAUGCAAGUCGAACGGUAACAGGUCUUCGGAUGCUGACGAGUGGCGAACGGGUGAGUAAUGCAUCGGAACGUGCCCAGUAGUGGGGGAUAGCCCGGCGAAAGCCGGAUUAAUACCGCAUACGACCUGAGGGUGAAAGGGGGGGAUCGCUAGACCUCUCGCUAUUGGAGCGGCCGAUGUCAGAUUAGCUAGGUUGUGGGGUAAAGGCCUACCAAGGCAACGACCAGUAGUUGGUCUGAGAGGACGACCAGCCACACUGGAAGUGCGAGACGGCACAGACUACUACGGGAGGCAGCAGUGGGGAAUUUUGGACAAUGGGCGCAAGCCUGAUCCAGCAAUGCCGCGUGCAGGAAGAAGGCCUUCGGGUUGUAAACUGCUUUUGUCAGGGAAGAAGUCUUCUGGGUUAAUACCUCGGGAGGAUGACGGUACCUGAAGAAUAAGCACCGGCUAACUACGUGCCAGCCGCCGCAGUAACAC
rnacentral:rRNA from 1 species